AAGCUGAUCAAAAGUGUGGCUAGACGGUCGGUCCUGUUGCUGGAAAUUGCAGAGGAGAAACAGUUCUUACCUGUCACUUUUGCGACAUUCCAUUAUCUACCUGGACAUGGAGUAGAAAAUAUGAUGACUCUUGGCAUACUUUUAUAGAAAAUGGAACGCAGAUAGAUCCAGAUCCUUCCAUCGUUCGAGAAGAAAUGAAUGGGUCUUUUUCGUUAAUAAUAGGAGGCGCUGAUAACAAGGCACGGGGAUGGUACAAAUGCGGAGUGGGACACUAUGCAUCUGAAGAAAAAUGGUUGAAUGUGGAAUGCAAACCCGAGAGUGCUGCAGUCAAUCUGACACCCGAAAAACAUUAAGAAAUUGUACUUAGAGACGUUCAUCCAGUCCCAAACAUUGAUUUCAGUUUGAAGAACCAGGCAUUUAACGAUGUUGCGAUAGAUUUUCAACACUCCUGUCAUGGGCAAAGAUGGACAAUAACCUGUAGAUGGAUUUCUACAACACCACUGCAAGACGGUCAAUAUUUUUAUAGACUGGUCGCAACAACUGUUACGGACACACUAUUCAUUGGCACGAUCAGUUAACAGAAUCUUUCGUCAGCAAGAAAAUUAUUUCAGCAAUGUUGAACAAGUCAUUUUUCAGGUUUUGUUAUGCUGUUGUUAUACAGACUUGCCAUAGACACUCAAUGACCAUAGAACAAUGCCGAACUGUUUAAUUUUCAAUUACUACAAUUAGAGAACAACUUAGUAGUUCAAAGUAUAAAAAAUAAUAGGAAAACGUUGCUUUUCUGUAUAGAGAUAAUAUAUGCAUUUAAUAUGUAGCCAAAAUCCCUGACAAAAAAGAUUAAUGAAUAUUGAUUUAACUGUUGGAAAAUAUUAACUUAAGUCUGAAAAGAUUUUCUUUUGUUUCAUUUUCAUAAUCUUAGAGAUAUAAAAAAGAUCCGUACAAUUUGGCUGAUAAGUAUUCAAAGAAAAUGUACUUGUUAAAAACAACAAUUGUGUUU